rnacentral:rRNA from 1 species
UACGUAGGUGGCGAGCGUUGCCCGGAUUUAUUGGGCGUAAAGCGCGUGCAGGCGGCCUGUUAAGUCCGUUGUGAAAGCUCCCGGCUCAACUGGGAGAGGUCUUCGGAUACUGGCAGGCUCGAGGGAGGUAGAGGAAGGUGGAAUUCCCGGUGUAGUGGUGAAAUGCGUAGAGAUCGGGAGGAACACCAGUGGCGAAGGCGGCCUUCUGGGCCUUUCCUGACGCUGAGGCGCGAAAGCCAGGGGAGCAAACGGG